AUAAUUAUUCUUUCGUUCAAUGCUUAAAUACUUCUAGUAAUCCCUAGGAUUAUUCCUAGGGAUCACUAGAUCACAAAAUCUCUACGAAAUUUCUCGAUCAGAUUCAGCUUCACAGAUUAUUCCAAUAAUUUAAAAAAAAAUCAUUUUUCGAUCUCUGCAUAACGAUACAAUAACUCAUCGUCGAAAAAAUAUACAUUCUUCGAAACUCACGAUCCCACGAUUGCUCGUCGACUGCUUUCCCGAAACAAGUUUGGUCUCACCACAUACACCGCGUUCGAUCGAGACACAUCACCUUCUGGUGGCUAAGAGAGGUAGCGUGAAACAGAGCGAAACUAAAACAAAUAUUGUGAGUGCAAGAAAAAAAAGAGAGAAAGAGAGGAGAGAGAGAGAGAGUAAAAUAGUAGAGAAAACCGAGAAGAGAAAAAACAGCGUGUGCCUUGUUUCAAAACCCUUUAGUAGCCGAGGCAAAGUCGGAGGAGAAGAGCCAGAGGAAACUGGAAGUGGGUGAGCUAGUAUGGGGCGCCGCAAGAGGAAGUCCGGCGUGGCCGGGCAAGGUCGAGUCUUUGGGCCCACCGGGCACCAUGACGGUGUGGGUCCGUUGGUACGGGGGCGGGGGCGGUCGGAGCCAGGUCGAGGUCAAGGCUCUCAAGUCCCUCUCCGAAGGCCUCGAGGCGCACCACCGUGCGCGAAAAAAGUUUAGGAAAAGUCGUAAAUUGAACAUGCAGCUGGAGAACGCUAUACAGGAGGCGAUGGCCGAGCUGGACAAGGUGACGGAGUCGAGCAAGGAGCAGAAGAUCGGUGGAAAAUCGUGCAACAAGGUGAGCGGAAGCAAGGAGAGCGGCAACGCCUCGAAGCAGGAUGGGAAGAGGUCGUCGUCGAAGAAGGCGUCUGUCGGAUCUGUGAAUCCUGUCGCGGCUGAACAAAAACAGUGUCGGUGAUCCGUGUCGAUGGAUCCUCGAACGAGUCAAUUUAGAUCACGAUGAUAGACGCACUGUUCCAUCUGUGAACGAUAAUCAAACGUGUUAAUUUUGUGAUCGAGAAACACCGAAAACUUCCUCUAAAAACAAAAGUUGUUUUUUAAAAUUCUCGACUGACACGUGCACACGUACACAAACACAUACAUAUACACACGGUGUUUCCGCUGAUUUAAAAAAAAAAAAAGAGAAAAAAGGCGUGGAAAUCUCGAGCGUUGUAUUCGAUAAAACGAAUGUUUAAUUGGAAAAAUUUUUAAUCGCGGAUAAUCCUUUUUAAUCGGAUGACAGAUUUUAGAUGAAAGGGAUAAUUUGUAAUUCUUCUUGAUAAUGAAAUUUCGGAUCACAGUUUUGUCGGGACACAACGCAUCGAGAUUUUUUGAAUUUUCCUAAAGCUUUACGAAGAUUAGAUUUCAAAUUUUUCGGAUUCGAUAUAUAGUUAUUCAAUACAAACUUCUGUAUUGCGAUGAUAAUAAUUGUGUAAAGUUGAAUUGUAACUUGUAUAUUAUAAUUAGAAUUGUGUAAAAUUAUUUUACAUUAUCUUGCGGAUAUGGAAUGGGAGGAUCGAUAUGUAAUGAAUUUUUGACGUUUGAAAAUUCUUACGAUGGCCGAUAUAAUGUAAUAUAAAAGAAGACGGAAGUCGCAAUACGGAAGUGAAAAUUGUUGAAUAAAAAAAAAAAAAAAAGAAAAGAAAGAAAGCGUAGAAUAUAAGCGAAAUCAAUUGUUGUAUAUACAUUUUUCUUCUAUUGGAGUAAAAUAAGAAUUGUUCAAUUUUAGAAAUUACAGGAUGCUAAAUAAGUAUCAUUCUUUCAAAGAUGAAGAGGAAGGAAAAAAAAAAAAAGAGAUCAGAAUCAAUAUCCAGUGGUCCAGUUUAUCGAAAACAACAAAAUGAUGAAUCCAUAACAUUCGAAGAAAUUAUCUUACGGUUGCCCUGAUAGAAUCAAAAGUAGUUGAAAGUAGAGAUUAUAUAAAUAAUACGUUUGACGUUUUUUCUCGCGAUGACACACAUUUAUUUUUUAUUUUUUUUUCUCCUGUAAAUAGACAUCGAUCAAACCAGGAAUGAAAGUUUUUAGAGAUACCGAUGAAUUUUCUCGUUCAAAUACAUUAUAUGUUAAUGAAGGAAGCGGAAAAGUCAAUCGAAUGUGAUCGAAGCGACUGAAUUAUAGAAAAAAGAAAAAAAAAUGAAAAAUAUUACGCAAUCGAAUUAAUAAAAGAAAAAAAGGAAACAAAAGAUUUUUAUCAAUCGAAAGUCGGUCGAGGUACAUAUUCGACGUGAUAUAGGAUUAAUUCAUCGUUAUUUCUUCUCUCGCAAUAAUUUGCCGUUAGCGAGCAUGAUCAAGCGAAACGCCAUUUUUCAGAUUUGAUUCUUUGCAAAUAAUCGACCACUCGCUAAUUAAAAAGAGCAAAUUGUUGCUAAACAUUGCGCGUAAAUCGCGUAAAAAAAAAAAAAAAUAUUCUAUCCUCGACAAUGGGCCCUGUUGAACGCUUAAUUUGUUAAGAAUAUUUUUAAAAUUUACUUGACAUAUUUCUGAAACGAAAAAUUGUUGGAUUUGCGCAUCGUCAGAUAUUUUUCUUUAACGUCGGAAUGAACAGAGAGAAUGGAAUGAAAAUUGUAAAAAAAUGUAUUUGUAAUUAGAGAAAGUCAUUAGUGGUGAGAGAGAGAGGGAGAGAGAGAGAGAAGAGAGAGAAA
rnacentral:misc_RNA from 1 species